rnacentral:rRNA from 1 species
UACGGGGGAGCAAGCGUUGUUCGGAUUUACUGGGCGUAAAGGGCGCGUAGGCGGUCGUGACAAGUCACUUGUGAAAUCUCCGGGCUUAACUCGGAACGGUCAAGUGAUACUGUCGGACUAGAGUACAGAAGGGGCAACUGGAAUUCUCGGUGUAGCGGUGAAAUGCGUAGAUAUCGAGAGGAACACCUGCGGCGAAGGCGGGUUGCUGGGCCGACACUGACGCUGAUGCGCGAAAGCCCAGGGGAGCGAAACGGG